UGCAAUGAGAGUUGUGCUAAGGUAGCGUGAUAAGUUGUCUUUUAAUUGGAGAAUGGUAUGAAUGGUUUGACGUAAAGUUACUGUCUCUGUAAAAUGAAAUGAAGUUUCCUUUUAAGUGAAAAGGCUUAAGUUUUUGUAAAAGACGAGAAGACCCUGUCGAGCUUGAUUUGAAUUAUUCUAAUUUGUAGUGGUUUUUAAGUUUUAUUGGGGCAAUAAAAAACAAAAUAACGUUUUUAUGUAUAGCUAAGAUCCUUUGGAAAGAAAGUGGCAAAAGCUACCGCAGGGAUAACAGCGUUAUCUUUCUUGAGAGAUCUUAUUGAGGGAAAGGUUUGCGACCUCGAUGUUGGAUUAU
rnacentral:rRNA from 1 species